GAUGAACGCUGACAGAAUGCUUAACACAUGCAAGUCGAUGGGGAAGUGGUGCUUGCACCAUGGCAACCAUGGCGGACGGGUGAGUAACGCGUAAGGGACUUACCUGCAGGACUGGGAUAACAGGGGGAAACUCCUGACAAGACCGGAUAAUGUCAUGGAGCUGCAUGGCUUUAUGAUGAAAGGAGACGCCUGCGGAGAGCCUUGCGUCCUAUUAGCUAGUUGGUGAGGUAAUGGCUCACCAAGGCGAAGAUAGGUAGCCGGCCUGAGAGGGUGGACGGCCACAAGGGGACUGAGAUACGGCACUUACUACUACGGGAGGCAGCAGUGGGGAAUAUUGGACAAUGGGGGCAACCCUGAUCCAGCAAUUCUGUGUGCACGAAGAAGGUUUUCGGAUUGUAAAGUGCUUUCAGCAGGGAAGAAGUAAGUGACGGUACCUGCAGAAGAAGCGACGGCUAAAUACGUG
rnacentral:rRNA from 1 species